rnacentral:lncRNA from 1 species
UGCUGCAUCAUCCUGCAUCUCCCACCUGCAUUUCACAAACACAGAAAACAGAAAUGUGUGUUAGGCCAGCUCUCAAAAACAGAGCUUUGACAGGCAGGGCUGGAGUGAGAUGUUGGAGGGUGAAGGGGCUUGUGGAAAAUAUCAUGAUGCACACGCUGGAAAGUUCAGGUGUGAGCCAGAGGGGAAGACAGAUGGAGGGAUGGAAGGACAGGGUUCUCGUUCGCCUCCCGGACCCUCUGCAAAACUUUCAUUCUGAGGACUCAUUCAGAAUACGGCAGCGAGCGAUUUGCCCAAGAGAGACUUCUCUAUAUGUGCAUGUGUCAUUGUUAUAUAACAUCAUUAUAUUCUACAAGCUGUCAGAGCACAUAAUAUCAGCGUUUAGUAACAUGCAAACUCAUGAAUACGUUCCCUCACACACUUACUGCAUGGUGUAUGGAAUGUAUUAGGGUUGUUAGUUUAACAUGUUAAUUUACUGUGAUUAAUUAUUCAACAAAUAAAUUGAAAAACAAUCAACUUGAAAUAGAAAUAUAUGUUGGCAUUCAGGAAUGACAUUUAACAUGACACAUGCUCGUAGUGUGGGAUGCUGAAAGAGCAACACGUCAUGUAAUGGCUAAAGAAUGUUAUUACUAAAAUAAUUUAAAACAUUUUGUUUACUGAAAUAAAGCUGAGUUGAAGCACUAAAUAAAAAAAUAAAACUGAACUCAAAAUAAAUAAAAACUAAAUGGUUACAUAUAAAAAACAAUGAAAAUGAUAAAAAAAACUAAAUUAC